AAGGAGCACAUCUACACAAACUCUUCACACAGGUGAAUGAGGUUGUGUCAGAGACCGUUUAGUUCCCUUUCGUGGAACUGCGGACGCUCAUGGGUGGAACGCUGACAAACUCAUCGCACUCGGUGGAAGCAAUGUCUUUCGCCGCGGUGAUAUACCGACACACUAUUGGGUCCUGAAAGAACACGCGAAUGUGUUUUUUCAUGGCAAAACAAACGAUCCGCUCGGAUCUCCUUCGAAACCGCCGGCAACCUUCGGGUUGGUGGGUAGGUCAGGAAAUCAAUCCGAUGCGGGUGUGUUGUUUGAGAACUGCACAGUGGACGCGAGCAUCUUUGUUA
rnacentral:misc_RNA from 1 species